AAAGACCCCAUGGAGCUUUACUGUAGUUUGAUAUUGAGUGUCUGUACCGCAUGUACAGGAUAGGUAGGAGCCGUAGAAAUCGGAACGCUAGUUUCGAUGGAGGCGCUGGUGGGAUACUACCCCUGCGUUAUGGCCACUCUAACCCGCACCACUAAUCGUGGUGGGAGACAGUGUCAGAUGGGCAGUUUGACUGGGGCGGUCGCCUCCUAAAAGGUAACGGAGGCGCCCA
rnacentral:rRNA from 1 species